CUUCCUUCCAUGAUGAACAAGAGAAGAGGACACUCAAGUGGCCAAGUGGCCUGGAAGCCUUCUUAAGAUGUGUUGUGUUUGGCUUGCUGGACUGAAAAUUUGGGUCAGGAUUCUGUGUUGGCAUGUUCUGGUCAUUGCCAGUUUUACAGAGUGGUCAAAUAUCUAGUCAGACCUUCCCUUUGAACCUUCGUUCUUCCUCAGUAUCCAAACCCUCUGGAUUCCUUCUGUGCUCCUGACAACAGAGGGACGACAUCAACACCCUCAGCAGACACUGCCAUCUCUGUGCUGCCUUCUGUGACAUAAUCAUCUUGACCACAGGGAGAUGAGGUCUCAGCAUAUCUACAAAUCACCUUGAAUUGUUUACUCGCUUGUACACGUAGGCAGGCUGCCUGCCCCUCUGAUCACUGAGCCCCCAUUCAGCAGCUAACAUCAUAGACACAUCAUUCUUUUGUGAUUAGUGAUCUCUCAGCUCUCGCCAGAGAGGCUCCUUCUUGCAGCAGAGGUGAUUAACAGAAACCCACAGCUGGCCAAUAUGCAGAGAAUAAGAGACUGCAGAGAAAUCAGCCCUAAAUGGGACAUCUAUAUUGCUCCCUCUCAUCCCAAAACUCAGGGCUCGAUGGAGAAGACAGAGUACAAAGACUGGAAGAGCCAGAGGUGGUGGAUAAAUUCAAGGAAACUGCUGUCUGGAUACAACAGUGGAGUUGCAUAUGUGAGUGCACCCAGAGCACUUAUGACAGCAUGUAUAAGACCUGUGCAAACUCAAGCCAGACAGAGGCCCAGCAGAGGUGAGCAGGAAGCCCCAGCCCUAGCUGAGUUGCUUCAUUUCUCCCUUCUAGCCUGUACAUGAUAGGGUAGCAUCAUGGAAACUAUGUCAUUGCAGGUCUCUUAUAAUUGAUCUCAUUCUUUCCGGAAAAGGAUCCUGCAAAUUCUGAAUGCACGCAGAUCUCUCCC